UGAGGGAAUAUUGGGUCAAUGGGCGGUAGCCUGAACCAGCCAAGUCGCGUGAGGGAUGACGGCCCUACGGGUUGUAAACCUCUUUUAUAAGGGAAUAAAGGACAUCACGUGUGGUGUUUUGCAUGUACCUUAUGAAUAAGCAUCGGCUAACUCCGUGCCAGCAGCCGCGGUAAUACGGAGGAUGCGAGCGUUAUCCGGAUUCAUUGGGUUUAAAGGGUGCGUAGGUUGCCGAUUAAGUCAGCGGUGAAAGUCAGUGGCUCAACCAUUGAACUGCCGUUGAAACUGGUUGGCUUGAGUACGUACGGGGCAGGCGGAAUGCGUGGUGUAGCGGUGGAAUGCGUAGAUAUCGGGAGGAACACCAGUGGCGAAGGCGGCCUACUGGGCACCAACUGACGCUGAGGCUCGAAAGUGUGGGUAGCAAACAGGAUUAGAUACCCUGGUAGU
rnacentral:rRNA from 1 species